rnacentral:rRNA from 1 species
GACGGACGCUGGCGGCGUGCUUAACACAUGCAAGUCGAACGGAAAGGCCCUGCUUUUGUGGGGUGCUCGAGUGGCGAACGGGUGAGUAACACGUGAGUAACCUGCCCUUGACUUUGGGAUAACUUCAGGAAACUGGGGCUAAUACCGGAUAGGAGCUCCUGCUGCAUGGUGGGGGUUGGAAAGUUUCGGCGGUUGGGGAUGGACUCGCGGCUUAUCAGCUUGUUGGUGGGGUAGUGGCUUACCAAGGCUUUGACGGGUAGCCGGCCUGAGAGGGUGACCGGCCACAUUGGGACUGAGAUACGGCCCAGACUCCUACGGGAGGCAGAAGUGGGGAAUAUUGCACCAUGGGCGGAAGCCUGAUGCAGCAACGCCGCGUGCGGGAUGACGGCCUUCGGGUUGUAAACCGCUUUCGCCUGUGACGAAGCGUGAGUGACGGUAAUGGGUAAAGAAGCACCGGCUAACUACGUG